UAGGGAAUCUUCGGCAAUGGACGAAAGUCUGACCGGGCAACGCCGCGUGAGUGAAGAAGGUUUUCGGAUCGUAAAACUCUGUUGGUAGAGAAGAACGUUGGUGAGAGUGGAAAGCUCAUCAAGUGACAGUAACUACCCAGAAAGGGACGGCUAACUACGUUCCAG
rnacentral:rRNA from 1 species